rnacentral:rRNA from 1 species
AACGAACGCUGGCGGCAUGCCUAACACAUGCAAGUCGAACGAGACCUUCUGGUUUAAUGGCGCACGGGUGCGUGACGCGUGAGAACCUGCCCUGAGGUUCGGAAUGACUCCCCGAAAAGGGUGCGGAUACCGGUGAAUAUCUUCGGACCAAAGAGUUAUCGCCAUUGGAUGGGCCCUCGUUGGAGUAGCUAGUUGGUAGGGUAGCAGCCUACCAAGGUGACGGUCCAUAGCUGGUCUGCGAGGAUGAUCAGCCAGAAUGGGACUGAGAGACCGUACCGACUACUACGGGCGGCAGUAGUGGGGAAUGUUGGACGGUGGGCAAACGGCUGAUCCAGCACUGCCGCGUGAGUGAAGAAGGCCUUAGGGUUGUAAAGCUCUUUUAGCCGAGAAGAUAAUGACAGUACCGGGAGAAUAAGCUACGGCUAAAUCCGUG